UUUGUACACCUACAAACACGCCUUUGAGUUUACUUUGUGAUGUUCAUGGAAAUUGGCUGCCACUAUGCAAGGAUACAACGCUGGCGUGGUUGAUGCCCACGAAGACUGCGAUGCACCUCAUGACGCUCGCCCAUUCCCGCUUGAACUUGUGCGGCUCACCAAGAUGGCUAUCGAGACACGGGUACAGCAGGCCCACUACAGCUGUAGAUGGAAAAAUGAAGAUUUAAUAAGAUAGUUUAAAAAUGUCAUCAUGGAAGUGUUAUUUGCUGAGUUUGCUUUUAAUUCGCAUGAAAAGAGGAAGCAAGUACUUUAAAAUUUCUACAUCAACUGGUAAUAUUAAAAUCUAAAGGGAAGCAUUUUCAUUAUAUAUUUUUAUGAGGAAACACAUUCAAGGUUUAGUUUGUGAAAGUUAAAUGCAAGGAAAAAUGCUUAACAGCUAGUUUGUGAACGUCCACAUGCUUGCGGACGUUGAAAAAGUAAUGGAAUGCUUAAAAUUCUUAUUUGGAAAGUGAUACUUUUGAACCUUUAUUCACUAAAUAACAGGUACUUGUUCCUAUUCAAGCUAAGAAAAUGCAAAAUUCAUUACAUCCCAUCUGACUUCCUGUCUUCCCCAUCAAACAAAGCCUUUGCCUCCAAAGCCCCGCCCUCGCAGUCACCCGUUAUGACUCCAACCAAUGAGCGCCCGGUUCGCCUCACGUCCUGUUUACUUAAGCCAAUGGAGGCGCGAAGAUACCAUAACCACACCGAACUUGGCUCCUUUAACUCUUACGUGUCCGCCAAACAAGCGUGAUAGAAGCCCACCAUAAAAACCGCUAUGAAGUGUUAUAUAAUGGCUAACAACGUUGCCAGGGAGUGAAUCAUCACCGCAUGAUUCCCCUCGCGUAACCUCCUUUUAUCGCUUUGAAUGUGUCGUAAACGUCAAGUACUGUUGAUUAAUGGCGGACUACCUUGUACUUUAAAACGGGGGGGAAAAAUAACCCUGAAUCGGUCAGCCCAGGUCGUUAGACGGUACAGUUCAUUUUAGGUCGAACUAACCUGCCCCUGUACCGCAGCACGGCGGGAUCCACCAGGCUGACGAGAACAAGGUGGUCAUCACCUCCUCGGGGAAGAGCGUGACGUUCCGUUGGAUUUGCAAUAAAUUGAGCACCAGGGCAAGGAUCACACCGACGGCGAAAAGCACCAGACCGCGGCGGAUCAAGUUGAAUGUCCGGUGGCGGUGCAGCGAGGCAUAAGCGCUGCUCAGAACCGAUGUGAUGAUGGACAUCAUUUCCUCGCCUUUGGACGCCCACCAGUUGGUCGUAGAAGAUGGUGACGACGACUGUUCGCGUUCCAACUGAGGUGCACGAGAGCAACUCCAAUAUUGCUCCUCUAGGCUAGACAUUUGGCACUGAAGUUUAAAAAAAAAAGUUGAAAACAAUAAAACAUACAAACGUGAUGUCACUCUUCCCACCAUGUUUUGAGAGCUUUACCUUGAUCUCUUAACUCCUCUCUGCAGUCGAUGAACCCUCUCCCCGGGCUUCUAUUUGCACCCCACUGCGGAGUAGUUUCUUCACAUUAUUGUCUGCACGCUAGUAAGAAGAGAGGAAUGAGCUAAAAACACGUCGUCGUGCUAAGUAAAAACAGCUUCUUCUCGAUCAGACAACACAAUCACAGACAGCUGUGUCGGGUGAGACUCGACAGCCAAUCAGAAGCCGGCGUGUGAUAUGACGUCACUUCACCCCACCUCCCAUGCGCCACAACAACUGAAGGGGGCGGGGGGAGAAGCGGAAGUCGGGCCAUGCCGCCACCUCGAACCAAAAGCACAUUUUUCAAAUCUGUUUAUUUGUUGGGAUCAUUAAGAGGGCACCAUGUUUUAAGCACGCAAUGGACACUCGGAGUGAUGACGUAGAUCGUCACUGUCACUUGACGAAUACGACCGGCUUACUGCAAUCCCUUCUACGCGCUGUCCAUGUGCUCACGCUGAUAAAUCACUGGAGCCUUUGCACUUUACAAAGGGUGGAAAAAGUGGUGCGUAGCAAAAGAAAACCUUCGCACAACUACUACACCAUGGCAGAAAUCCAACCUUAAUGUGUUUUUCCGCCUCAGGACAAAAAGGGACACAGGCCAGCGCUUUUUAUGCGACGUGGUGAGAUGUUGGAAACUAUCAGAUGGGAUUGGGCGCCGGGUCUAAGUGGAAUUUAUUGGCCCGGACAUGGAGCAUCCCAACAUUACCGCCAGGGCAAUUAUGUGUGACCAUUACAUCCCUAAGUGAGAUGGAACUGCUCAUUAGGCUUAUGGUGUCAGUGAGGGUCCAAUUGUUUUCACCUUGUGAAUCAUUUUAUCUGGCUAUCUUACUGUCCAUACAUCACUCGCUUGAUCGCUAGCCUGAUUGCUAACUCGCCAUGUUUUAA